UACGAAGGGUGCAAACGUUGCUCGGAAUCAUUGGGCGUAAAGCGCACGUAGGCGGCUUCGCAAGUCGGAUGUGAAAUCCCUCGGCUCAACCGAGGACGUGCAUCCGAAACUGCGGAGCUUGAGUACUGAAGAGGAUGCGGAAUUCCCGGUGUAGAGGUGAAAUUCGUAGAUAUCGGGAGGAACACCAGUGGCGAAGGCGGCUUACUGGACCGGUUCUGACGCUGAGGCGCGAAAGCGUGGGGAGCAAACAGG
rnacentral:rRNA from 1 species